UAAUUUACAAAUUGAUAAAAUUAAAAAUAAAGAAAAAUGUUACAACCUCCACCUUUUGUCUUUUAUUCUUUCUCUCGUAGACAGUCACGCCGCCGGUCCUAAGCAGCUCACGGAGAGAGUGGCGCCAGCCUAAGCAGUAAGCAGAGUAAGCUUCGCUCUCUCUUAGCUUCUCUCUUCACUCACUUCUCACAGUCAGCCGCUUCGAAUCCGUGCGCUAUCUCUCAAGAGCGGGCUCAAUCUCUGACUCACUCGAUCAACUGUUGCUCACCGGACUCGUGGAUUCUCAUAUCUUCGACCAUCAUUGUACUUGCUCCCUUUCUCCCACUGCCAAAGAGUGCGGACUAGACUGGACCGGGCAAGAACUGUGAUGUUGGUUUUCAAGCUACUUUGAAGAUGGAGGGGGCGACAAAGGAAAUUUACUUUGAAGAAGAAAGUGAUGAUGAGAGAUAUAGUAAAGAUUCUAAUGACGAUGUUGAUGAUGAUGAAGAAUAUUGCUAUGCUUCUGUACCAGUCUCCAAGUUGCAGCCUAGGAAAGUUUUAUCAAAGGGUCGUUGGAUUAAAAAGAUGGGGAUGGCUGAGGUUGAAGUUCAAAAGGGUCCAAUUUGGAGGACAACAGGCAUAGUCCGUUGUGGCAAAAUCUAUUGCUUAAUUGAAGAAGUUUUGUUUAUGGCCGAAUUGGGGGCUUUCCUUCUGAUGGAUGAUGCUGGUGCCAGUAUCUCUAUGGAGGAGAUGUAUAUGAUUUUUUCAGACGAAAAGAAUGGAUGUUCUUGGGAGCAUUUUCAGGCCUACAGGCAACUGAAGUCUCUUGGUUACAUUGUGGGGCGAUACGGUAUCCCAUGGUCUCUAAAACAUGUCAAGAGCAAUACUGAAUCUUUUUCUUCUCAGUGCUCUUCAGAAAAUGCAGUGGACUUGAAAUCAGAAGACGAAUUCUCUGUUCUAGGAAUGUUUAGUAGGCUGCAGAUUGACGAAGUUAAACCAGUAUUUGAUGUUUAUCUCCCAAAUACCAAGUUUAGAAAGUCUUCACCUGGUGCUCCAAGCUUUGUGCUCUGCUUUGCUAGUGGCUAUCCGCCAUCCAAAGCGACACUUCAACUCAUGGAGAGAAAGUGCGGAGGAAUUCCUUUGAAGUUUUGUCAUGUGGAGCAAGGACGAGUGAGUUUCUUUUCGUUUGACAAAGUGGAGCUUCCUAUCCUACCUUGAUAUGCAGCUCUAUUCUGGUUUAGUAUUAGAUGCAAAGGAAACAGAUAUGAAGACAUUUUCAACAAAUCUGAGCAUAAUUUGGUUUCUAGUUUCUUCAGCAUAACUCUUUGGUGAACUCCUCAUAGGAUUGAUUGCCAGCGACAUUUCGCCAGCACUCCUCCGACGAAGCUCCAUUAAGUAUGCCUCUCCAGUCUCCAUCUGCACUCUGCAGGCAACCAGUCAUUCAGUGCUAUACAAGAUUAGCCAAAAUAACAAAUCACUACUCCAAUGAGCAAGCAAAUGGUAACAAAGAGCAAAGACCGGUAUACACAAUGGCCUUCUUUUGUUCUGCAUUUAUUGAGCUUAUGAACUAUUCAUCUUCUCGGAAAAACACUAACGCUGAUCUUUGUUGGACACUGAUUCUUCUACAACCACAGCAGUUGGAAUAACGUUCCAAAAUGAGUACAUUUUUUUUCAUACAUACGGAAUCAGUUUUGAUUUUCUAAUGAGAAGUGGCCAAAUAAAAGUGAUUGUUCUGAUGAUAAAAAGAGCAAACUGAAAUUGUUGUCAGAUGAGGAACCAAGGCACAAAUUCAAGUGAAGUGAUUUAUUAGAAGCAUGUCUAAAGUAGGGUUUAAUUUUUGUAACAAUACUAUUGUUUUAGCACAACAAUUUUUUCCCCUCUCCAAUGCAAUGCUAAAAAUUAUAUUAAAAUUAAUAUAUAGCAUAACAAUAAAUAUUAAUAAAUUUUUAUAG